GGGGGUGUUUAGCCUGGAGAAAAGGAGGCUCAGGGAGGCCUUGUCACUCUCUACAGCCACCUUAAAGGAGGGCGUAGCCAGGUGGCAUCGGUCUCUUCUCCCGGGCAGCCAGCGAGUGGCAAGACAGGAGCAAGAGCGCACAGCCUCAAGCUGUGCUUGGAGAGGUUCAGGCAACUCGAGGAAUUUCUUCACAGAAAGGGUGAUUAGAGUCCAUUGGAAUGGACUGCCAAGGGACAUGGUGGAAUCGCUGCCCCUGGAAUUGUGAUUGAAACUUACCCACGAUGUGACCAAAAUACAGGCAUCUUACUUUACACAAAGGCAUGGUGAAUUAACAAAAUUAAUGGCAGGUGAAAUUUGCAGCCCUGGGAAAGUAGCACACACUACAGGGGAAGAUGGAUGGAUCGUCAUGAAGUGAUGGCAUCAGCUCUAAAGAAAAAGGGCAAGACAAACAGUAACUGUUAAACAAGAAGUGGCAAAUGAGCUGCUGCUCAAAGAAAGGAGUGCAACUCUAUACGGCAUCAUGGCAUCAUUAAAAAAUGAGAGCCAAGAAGUUAUGAUCUGCUGCAGGGAGCUGAGCAUGUGUGUUACUCUUCAAAUUAAUUUAGGGGUGGCUCCUCGUGUUCUUGGGAGAUUCGAGCUUUUUUUCUGAAGCCCACAACUGUCAAUUUCCCACCUUAUAGCUGUCUUCCUCUAUCAAGUCAAUUGUACCUAGAAAAAGCACUCCUCGUGACUUUGCUGUAGCCUCUAAUUAUCCUCUGCUGAAAAGAAGAGGAUGCUGGUGUGGCUCCUGUUACAGAGCAAAGAGGAGGCAGAAGGUUACAAGGAAGAUGAAGAGGAAUGAUCAAAGGUGUGGAACAUUUCCAUCUGAGAAGAUAGUAAAUGAAAAGUAAACAGACCAAGAUGUUUCUAUUUGGUGAAAGGGUAAUUGAGGGGGUACUAUGAAGGAAAUCUAUGAAAUGGUGACUGGUAUUAGGGCAGAUAGCAAUCACAUACAACUUUUCACAAUAAAAGCAUUGGAUGAGAGUCUAUAAAAUUGUUGCUUGGCAGGUUCAAAACACAGGGAAAUAUUUUUUUUGCAUAAAAUAGAAAUGAAUGUAGAAUAAACUUGUUAUGAUAAUAAAAAUGAGAAU